rnacentral:rRNA from 1 species
AGAACGAACGCUGGCGGCAUGCCUAAUACAUGCAAGUCGAACGAACACUUCGGUGUUAGUGGCGCACGGGUGCGUAACGCGUGGGAAUCUGCCCUUGGGUCCGGAAUAACAGUUGGAAACGACUGCUAAUACCGGAUGAUAUCGAAAGAUCAAAGAUUUAUCGCCCAGGGAUGAGCCCGCGUAGGAUUAGCUAGUUGGUGAGGUAAAGGCUCACCGAAGGCGACGAUCCUUAGCUGGUCUGGAGAGGAUGA